AUUGAACGCUGGCGGCAGGCUUAACACAUGCAAGUCGAGCGAGCGGCGGACGGGUGAGUAAUGUCUGGGAAACUGCCUGAUGGAGGGGGAUAACUACUGGAAACGGUAGCUAAUACCGCAUACCAUCAGAUGUGCCCAGAUGGGAUUAGCUAGUAGGGGGGGUAAGGGCUCACCUAGGCGACGAUCCCUAGCUGGUCUGGGAGGAUGACCAGCCUCACGGGAACUGUGAAACGGUCCAGCCUCCUACGGGAGGCAGCAGUGGGGAAUAUUGGACAAUGGGCGCAAGCCUGAUGCAGCCAUGCCGCGUGUGUGAAGAAGGCCUUCGGGUUGUAAAGCACUUUCAGCGGGGAGGCGUUACUCGCAGAAGAAGCACCGGCUAACUCCGUGCCAGCAGCCGCGGUAAUAC
rnacentral:rRNA from 1 species